rnacentral:tRNA from 1 species
GGACCCAUAGUUCAACGGAUAGAACAACAGGCUUCGGACCUGUAGAUGAAGGUUCAAUUCCUUCUGGGUUCG